ACGCUGGCGGCAUGCCUAAUACAUGCAAGUCGAACGGCUGGAGACCAGCUUGCUGGUCGAAGGAGUGGCGAACGGGUGAGUAAUACAUAAGCAACCUGCCUGCAGGGACCGGGGAUAAUCUACUGGAAACGGGGACGUAAUACCGGAUAAGUAACGGAAAGGGCAUCCUUCUGUUAUUAAAGUUUUGAGACACACGCAGAUGGGCUUAUGGCGCAUUAGCUUGUUGGUGAGGUAACGGCCCACCAAGGCGAUGAUGCGUAGCCGGCCUGAGAGGGUGAACGGCCACAUUGGGACUGAGACACGGCCCAGACUCCUACGGGAGGCAGCAGUAGGGAAUUUUCGGCAAUGGGCGAAAGCCUGACCGAGCAAUGCCGCGUGAGUGAUGACGGUCUUCGGAUUGUAAAGCUCUGUUGUAAGGGAAGAAUGAUCAUGGUGAAACCAUGAGUUGACGGUACCUUACCAGAAAGCCACGGCUAACUACGUGCC
rnacentral:rRNA from 1 species